GGACGUUUGCCCGAAACACUCCCAUACGCAGCGCCGAGGGAAGCACUGCCCUUCCCGGGGAAGGUGAUCUCAAACACCGAGCCAGCCAAACCGACACCGGCGGCCGGCGGGCAGGGUCUGCGGGGGCCGGGGCUGUGUUAUCUCCAGAUAUCUGAGGAAUCUGAAGGGGACCGGGCUGUCUAUCUCCAGAUAUCUGAGGUAUCUGAAGGGGGACCGGGCUGUGUAUCUCCAGGCACUUGGGCUGGCAGGGUCUGCCUCGGCGGCUUCGGAUGGCGGGAAGGCUUUCAGCUGCGCUGAGGGGCCUUCGGGGAGUCGCGGCCCUGCUGGCCACAGCUUCGUUUACAGAAGUCGUACAGUCAAUCUCUGCAGGUUCUGGGUGACACCAACCCCAACAAACCCGUAAUCGAGGCAACGCCGCCGCGGUGUACGCGGGGAGGAUCAUCUUUCUCCCAAGCGUAUCAAAGCUGCCUGCUCCUCGGAUGUCAGCUUCCAUUUCUUCAGCGUUCCCUGCAAGUUUUUUUCCAAAACGGUGCUCAAGCGUUGGGGUGGUCAAACCCAGGCCCCCUUCAUGUUUUAAUCUAGGCAGCGCUGCAGGGGCUGUGUUAGAAGCACCGUACCUCAGUACCUCCCUUUGGUUCAAAGACGAGUCUGCAGCUCAGCUUGAGGUGGCAUUGACCCAUUUGGUGAUGACGUUCUAUUUCACUUCUACCUGUUUUAUUCUCCAGUCCAAGCCCUAAUUCCCUUCCUGCCAAUCCGUAUCCCACUGCUUUACAUUAAUAUUCAAUUAUCCUUAUGGGGAAGAAUGAUUUUUUUACUUGGAUUUCACCUUCACAACGAUGGUUCUAGUGCUGUUCCUCCUCCUGGUCGUCACCACCUUCAGUCCGUCCUUGCUUUGGCGUCCCAGCGCUGGGGCAUGCGCCUGCACCGCUUCCGUGCUCUGCUUCGUGCCAGCUCACAAUUACGGAUAAAAUUACAAACUUCGUUAAAGGCUUUCGGUGAUUAUCUGUGAAGUUCUGCCUUUUGCUGCCAGCUAGUCCAGGAAAUUCAGUACAUCUCGUGAAUCAAGCUACACAAUGAUCUACUAACAUUGUUACCUGCAGAGCCAGCAGUAAACGUACCAGCGCAUUCUGCAGCGGGAUUUGGCCAGAUCUAUAAAUUUCUGCUGGGAUGCGGGAGCAUUUAUGGCUUUGCCUGGUAGGAGAUGGUAACUAUCCACACGGAGAUUAAUUUGAGGGGGAAAAAGCAAGAAGAUAAGCAUUACUUUUUAGAAAAGGACCAUUUCUUAACUUACGUUAUUUAGGAUGACAGUUGUGCUAGAGGCACAGCUUACAAGGCUGCCACAAAAGCAAUGUGUUGGGAGUCAUGUGCUGCAGCACACGCACUCCUGCAGUCAAAACCCAAGGAAGCGACGGCAAGCUCUUCUCUCUGUGUGCUCUAAACCCACUACUAAUUAAACACACUCGUUCUAAUUAAGAAAAAAGACAUAAUACAUUCAUGAUGGGGAUGGUGAGUGGCGUGCCCUGUCCUGGCUUACACCCCACCAGAGCACCUUGCUCACGGAGCAUCAGCCAGUGCAGGGCUUGGCCUGGGACCCCAAGUGAUGCUGAAGGUGUGGGUUCCCUCUCCACGGGCGCUGGGGAAGGUGUUACCCCAGGGACUGGUCAGAAUUUCAUACAACUGCUUUGAUAAUGGCCUAAAAUUCUUGCAAUAUCCAUAAUAAACAACAUUUUAAAACCCAAGACCGUUCUUGGGAGUUAAUAACGACGCUGUCGAUAGCGAAGGAAAUGUUAAUAGAUGUCUUUUAUCUAAGACUAUCACAAUUCUUUGAAAGAUUAAUUAGUUAAUUAAGCUUCACAACACUGCUGUGAGAUAAGGGAGCACUAGACUAUCCCAGAUAACAGAUGAGGGUCAGGGUAUAGGGCGUUGAAGACCGGCUCUAGCCGAGGAUCCUUUGCUCUUGCAGCAGCAGCUUGCCAGCUGUGCUGAGUGCUCGCCGCUCCCCGGGCUCGUGGUGCAGAGCAGAACCUCACCGGCACCCCAAAGGGCUCCCGGGUACCCGAAGCUGAGCUCUGCAAAUCAGAAAUCACCCACCGUUACCCCCAGCUCCCUUUCAAACCCAGCAGGAAACGCAUCCCAGAUGCAACAGUUGUGUGGUGCAGGGACGUGUUCCUUGCCUUAUACUGCAUAUGGGAAAGUGAACAUGACACAGCUUUACAAAUAAACCUGAGUGUUGCUGUUAAUUACCAACAAUGACAAACUUAAUCCAACACGAGGAGUACCAGCAUUUGCCCAGACAAUACUUCCCACCAUGGACGCGCUCAGGAGCCUGAGUUUUCCGAAUCGAGGGGAAAUCAUCUCAGCAUUUGUUAGUCUCUCUGGACGAAGGGAGAUACUCGAGGACUGGAAGCCGCUGCUAGCCACACAUACCUGGGAAAGGUGAGGAUAAUUGCAGGGCAAACUGGAUUUUUGGCUUACAUUUAGGCAAGAAGCCAGAGGCCGCUCUAAACCGUGCUAUAAGGCAUGUUCAGUUCAAAACCAGACUUGCAAAGUUUUUAAUGAAACUAACCAUCCAUCCAUAGGGUGACUGUUUAACAUCAAUGCAGUAGUGCAAAGGGAAGGAAUCCUUUUAAGAGAACAAGAUGAUUUUGAGCAAUUUGUCGUAGGCUGUAACUGGGAUGUCGACAUUUGCAAAUGUCAAAAUUAGUGUGGCAGCUUUGCUAAACAAAAAAAGCUACUUAGCUUGCUCACACUUAAGCUGAAGAAAUUAUUCUGACAUAAAAGCUAAUAAACAAGACCUUAGUUUUUACAUUUAUUUAUUUAAACUAAAUAACCAGCUACACAAUGCGUAAUUUACAGAGCUCAUCCCAAGCACCUGGGCGAUUCACACUGGGUGAUGCCACCAGGCAUGUCACUGUCUGCACUGGGGUUAAUGGCCAUACCAGCUCUUCAAGGGCUCCAUGCCACGACUGCCUGUGGAAUUCCACUGGAGACUGAGACAAAUACUUCUCAGCCUUUACUGAGGCUAACUGGUACCUCUGUUUGUCACUCAAAUCUCCACGUUAAAACAAAGCUGGAAGGUUGGGGCCAAGUCUUCAAGUCCUCUGAACCAGUGUCUACUUCUCUAUCUAUGGAAGAAACUCUGAAGGGCAGAGGAGAUUGUUUUACGAACCCUCAUUUUCCCCGAGCGCUCAGCAUUUCCUGAUAGGUCCUGAGCUGACAUUGCAGUGAUGUUCCAAGUGAUCUGAUAUAAUUUUCUUAAAGCUGGAGGGUCAGCGUCAGGCUUCAAUAAAUAGCUAGAUCGUAGCUCAGCAGUGGCAAAAGUAGUAUUCAUUCAUAAUAAAGACGUAGUGCAACCAUAAACUCCAUUGCGAGAGCUGAGCGGUGUACACUUAAGAAGAGAUUAUUGAUUGCAGCACAUGAACGGCUGACCUUGCUGAGAAGACUACAGAUGACUUUUUCUGUAAUAAAUAAAAACACUAAAAAAAAAAUAGGCUGCUUUCUGAGGACAAUCUUGUCAAGGAAAAUCAUCUUCUGCAGGGAUUUCCUGAUGAUGGGAAAUAAAUACUUGAUAGCCUUUAUUCUCCUGCACAUCCACUGUUAAAGAAGAGGCAUUUUCACUUUGGUUCAUCGUGUUUUACCCAGUACAACAUAUCAGCCCUUUACUCGGGUGAGUAUUAGUCUUUUAUUUAUUGCAAUUUCCUACAAGCACCAGAAACCUGCCAUAUCUAGCUACACCAGAUUGUAGAAAUAAGAUGCACAAUAAUGGUCAGGCCUGUUAGCCUUAGUGUUAUUGUCGGUUAUCUUAAAACAGCAUAUAUUUUGUUUGAGAACUAAUUAAAUACAAAUCUAAAAGACACCUGGAA